rnacentral:rRNA from 1 species
UACGUAGGGGGCAAGCGUUGUCCGGAUUUAUUGGGCGUAAAGGCGCUCGCAGGUGGUCCGUUGCGUCGUGCGUGAAAGACCCCGGCUCAACUGGGGAUGUCGUGCGAUACGGGCGGACUGGAGGCCAGUAGGGGGAUGCGGAGUUCCGGGUGUAGUGGUGGAAUGCGUAGAGAUCCGGAGGAACACCAGCGGCGAAGCGGCAUCCUGGACUGGUCCUGACA